ensembl:snRNA U6 U6 spliceosomal RNA
GUGCUCACUUCAGCAGCACGUGUACUAAAAUUGGAAUGAUACAGAGAAGAUUAGCAUGCUCCUGCACAAGGAUGACAUGCAAAUUUGUGAGGCAUUCCAUAUUAAA